rnacentral:rRNA from 1 species
CGGACGGGUGAGUAAUGUCUGGGAAACUGCCUGAUGGAGGGGGAUAACUACUGGAAACGGUAGCUAAUACCGCAUAACGUCGCAAGACCAAAGAGGGGGACCUUCGGGCUCUUGCCAUCGGAUGUGCCCAGAUGGGAUUAGCUAGUAGGUGGGGUAACGGCUCACCUAGGCGACGAUCCCUAGCUGGUCUGAGAGGAUGACCAGCCACACUGGAACUGAGACACGGUCCAG